GACGAGGUGCCGAGUGGUUAAGGCGAUGACUGCUAAUCCAUUGUGCUCUGCACGCGUGGUUCGAAUCCCACCUUCGUCG
rnacentral:tRNA from 1 species